rnacentral:tRNA from 1 species
AGGAUUAUAAUUUAAUUUUAAAAUUAUUAAAUUGCAAUUAAUAUAAAUUGAUCUAAAUUCAAUUAAUCUUA